GAGGGGUCGCCAGUCGCCGCAGGCGCUUCAGCCCAGCGGCGGGCCUUGGCCCUUGGCUGCCUACUCCUACCGCCCCAGCCCCGGGCGGCCCUGGGCCUGCUGCGGGCGCGGCGCUGCCCGACCAGAGCUUCCUGUGGAACGUCUUCCAGAGGGUCGAUAAAGACAGGAGUGGAGUGAUAUCAGACACCGAGCUUCAGCAAGCUCUCUCCAACGGUGAGUGGGCCAGUGGGAACUGGGUCUCCGGACCAAGAAGCCGUGAGCCUGCCCUGUUCACAGUGGAUAACUUUCUGAAGUUGUUUUUCCAAGGACAAAGGAAUCAUUAGGACAAAUUGUUAAUACUGCUUCAUGGUGGAGAUGCUUCUGGUUUAUUUUGUGGCUACCGCUGUUACUGCUUGGAGUGCCUCACCGAGCCAGGAUGAAGCUCCACCCGCCCUUCAGGAUGCAAAGCCCUCCUCUAUAAAGUGCAUGCGGGGCCAGAUGCAGUGGCUCACAUCUGACCUCCCAACACUUUGGGAGGCCGAGGCAGGGGGAUCGCUUGAGCCCAGGAGUUUGAGACCAGCCUGGACAACAUUGAUGAAGCCCCACCCGCCCUUCAGGAUGCCAGCCUUGGCAACAUCGUGAGACCCUGUUUCUACAAAAACUAAACAAGUGUAGUGGUGCACGCCUGUAUUCCCAGCUACUUGGGAGGCUGAGAUGGGAAGAUCACUUGAGCCUGGGAGGUUGAGGCUGCAUUGAGCUGAGAUCAAGCCACGGCACUCCAGCCUGGGAGACAGAGCGAAACCCCAUCUCAAAAAAACAAAGAAAGUGGAUGCGUGCUGCUCCUGCCAUUGGAUCAUCGCAGCAUUUUUCUUUUCUCUGAUAUGCGCCUUUUUCCUCAUCGUGGGGGCUCAUGUUUUCGUAAUUCCCUCUCGCUACUAGAUUGUGAGCUGUGUGAAGGAAGGUUCAUAGUUGAGUUGUAUGUACAGGCACACAAAAUUUGUCCUUGGAUAGACACAUAUCAAUCCACUUCCUUCUCCUCUCUGAAUUUCUUUAUUUAAAAAAAAAAGUAGAGAUGGAGUCUCACUGUCUUGCCCAGGCUGGUGUCAAACUCCUAGGCUCAAGUGAUCCUCCCACCUCUACUAAUAUGAAUUAUUAGGCUAUGCUAAUAUGAAUUUGUAUACUAAUAUGAUUGAAAUUAGUUUGACUUCUAUAAUAAUUGUUCUCCCAGAUUGGGCUUCUGUUUUGAUAGUAGAACUAAAUUAUUAGGCUAUUUCAAGAAAUUAAUAUAUUACUGGUAGAAAAACUGAAGCUACAAAAUGGCCUGGUUUCUCACUUCAGUUAAAUUUGUGCUUCUGAGUGCUUGUAUUCUAGGUGAAACCGCACUGAGAAGGUAUUUGUGGCCUAUACGCUGAUUCAUUGAUUAGACUUCUUUGCACAGGAGAGCUGCUAAAAAUUACUGCGGUGAACAGGUACGAAGAAAAAGACUGUUCUCUGCCCUUCUUUUUGCAAUAAAAUGUUACAAACUAUCUUGAGUUUGAUCCCUUUUCGGGUGUUUGGGUUUUUUUUAACAUUCACAUAUUUCUUGGAAUUAUAAGAAAUUAACUUUGUGCUUCUGAAGUGGGUUUGCCUUAAUAUAACACUGAUGUAUUUGUAAGGGGCAUUUUUAAAGCUGUACUUUAAAAAAUAAUAAUUCUUACAUUCAUUUGAA
ensembl:lncRNA novel transcript